GACAGAGGGUGCAAACGUUGUUCGGAAUUACUGGGCGUAAAGCGCAUGUAGGCGGCAACGCAAGUCGGGCGUGAAAUCCCACGGCUCAACCGUGGAAGUGCACUCGAAACUGCGUAGCUAGAGUCCUGGAGAGGAAGGUGGAAUGCUUGGUGUAGAGGUGAAAUUCGUAGAUAUCAAGCGGAACACCGGUGGCGAAGGCGGCCUUCUGGACAGUGACUGACGCUGAGAUGCGAAAGCGUGGGGAGCAAACAGG
rnacentral:rRNA from 1 species